AAUUGACAGGCCACCUGCAGGGAUGCAGCAAGGCUUUAAAGGGAUAGGCAUCGGAUGCAUGGGAUGCUUUUGUUACAGCACAUGGCGAGAAGAAGACGGGCUGUCAUCUCCAGCGAAGCGUCCUCCGAAGCGCAUCAGCAAAGACACGUUUUCACUAAACAACUGUGAGGAGAAGCAUUGACAUCAUCUGUUGGUGGUGUCAUAAACCCUGACCUGUGCUGCCUACCUAAGUCCUACCUAUUGAAACAAUGUAUUGAACCCUUUCGUCCUGGUUGCCCUGGUUACAGCCACUUAUCAAGGAGAGGUCUUAAAGAUCAAACAGGUGUGGUAUCCAGUUGCCACGAUCCUCCCGUUGCUAUUGACCUUUGUUCGGCGCUGAGCACAGGUGCACGCCAGUGCCGCAGAGCACGGCGAGUGUACACAAAAACAUGAUGGAGAGACAAAAAGAAUUUCGCCUCACCGCUGUGGUGCCAUAAACUGCUCAGCGACCUAUCUGUGCUUCAGAAAGGGGGAAAGGAAGGGGGUUGCAGAGUAAAGUCAGACUGAAAUUCGACAUCAGAGGUGGGCCCAGCGAGGGGCCCUGACUGACGGUGAAAGCUCGAGUUCACCUAGACGUAUCUAUUGCUCUCCCACUGAUCGCUAGCACUCCUCGCCGUCCACCCCAGGAAACUCCCGCUAGCAGGAGUCCGCCGCACUUCCCCCACACAAUAGCACACAGUCACGUGGCGUAUAUUGUCAUGUU